GCACAACGCCUCAGUCGGUAGAGCAUGAGACUCUUAAUCUCAGGGUCGUGGGUUCGGGCCCCACGUUGGGCG
rnacentral:tRNA from 1 species